GGCAGGCCUAACACAUGCAAGUCGAACGGUAACAGGAAGCAGCUUGCUGCUUCGCUGACGAGUGGCGGACGGGUGAGUAAUGUCUGGGAAACUGCCUGAUGGAGGGGGAUAACUACUGGAAACGGUGGCUAAUACCGCAUAACGUCGCAAGACCAAAGAGGGGGACCUUCGGGCCUCUUGCCAUCAGAUGUGCCCAGAUGGGAUUAGCUUGUUGGUGAGGUAACGGCUCACCAAGGCGACGAUCCCUAGCUGGUCUGAGAGGAUGACCAGCCACACUGGAACUGAGACACGGUCCAGACUCCUACGGGAGGCAGCAGUGGGGAAUAUUGCACAAUGGGCGCAAGCCUGAUGCAGCCAUGCCGCGUGUAUGAAGAAGGCCUUCGGGUUGUAAAGUACUU
rnacentral:rRNA from 2 species